rnacentral:rRNA from 1 species
UACAGAGGGCGCGAGCGUUGUCCGGAAUCACUGGGCGUAAAGGGUGUGUAGGUGGCGCGCUAAGUCGGGUGUGAAAUUUCGGAGCUUAACUCCGAAACUGCAUUCGAUACUGGCGUGCUUGAGGACUGGAGAGGAGACUGGAAUUCAUGGUGUAGCAGUGAAAUGCGUAGAGAUCAUGAGGAAGACCAGUGGCGAAGGCGGGUCUCUGGACAGUUCCUGACACUGAGACACGAAGGCCAGGGGAGCAAACGGG